rnacentral:lncRNA from 1 species
AAGGGCUUGAAGGCUAACUUGGAACGGUUAGGAGCUGUCCAAAAUUAAGCUAACCCUAAGAUAGAGUUGACUUGAUUGUAUCAGUUGUUUAGAAAAAUAAUAAAAAUAAUUAAAAAUAACCUUCCCAUCUAUCAUCUUUAGGUCUGGGAUUUUCACCUUUAAACUUCUCUCUUUCUUCCUCCUCUCUUCUUCUUCUUCUCUCCCUCUUCCUUUAAACAAAAAAAAGAACUCGAUUAGAGCCUGUGGGUAUAUGCUUGGAUGUCGAUCCUUACAAUCUGAAUUGCACCCA